UGUUGAUAAUAAAGAGGUGCUUAGAUGAAAACCAAAAUAUGAUUUCAAAAGUGUUUUUACAGUUUAUGAAGUAAAUAUGUGGAGAAAUUUACUUCGUUUUACA